UGGCGGUGAUGACUAUCUUAGGACACCUUUGGAAUAACCAUGAAAUAACAGCUUUUUUUCUGAGCCAU
ensembl:snoRNA SNORD58 Small nucleolar RNA SNORD58